AGAGUUUGAUCCUGGCUCAGAUUGAACGCUGGCGGCAUGCUUUACACAUGCAAGUCGAACGGCAGCACGGGGGCAACCCUGGUGGCGAGCGGCGAACGGGUGAGUAAUGCAUCGGAACGUAUCCUUGAGUGGGGGAUAACGCAGCGAAAGUUGUGCUAAUACCGCAUAAGCUCUGAGGAGGAAAGCGGGGGACCGAAAGGCCUCGCGCCGGUGGAUGAGCCGAAGUCGGAUUAGCUAGUUGGUAGGGUAACGGCCUACCAAGGCGACGAUCCGUAGCUGGUCUGAGAGGACGACCAGCCACACUGGGACUGAGACACGGCCCAGACUCCUACGGGAGGCGAC
rnacentral:rRNA from 1 species